rnacentral:siRNA from 1 species
GUUGAAAUCUUUGAUUGUGCUG